AAACCCUCUCUGUAAAACUCAAAUCUCUGCAGGUCUCAAUCCAGAUUCGAAAUCUGUUCCUGGGAGCUGAAAUAGGGAUAUUCCGUUAUCUUCUCUCUUCCCCUCCCUCCCCCAGUUCAAGUUUGAGGACUUUUGGAAACGGGGAGACGGCGAGGCUUUAGUUUUGUCCUGGAGCAGGUUGUCCUGGUUACAUUUUCAAACCAGGGAUAAUCGGGGUGGGGGGAGAGCGAGCCCUGGGACUUCUCCGAUUUGAACCAUAGCCGCACGGGGGUCAUCGAGGUUACCUGAAAGGGCAUCUACUCGAACCCCUCUUGGCGAGGCGGGGGGGAAAAAUGCUGCCACCGAUUUUCAAGGCUCUGUUGGCUCUCCGUCUCCCACAGUCCAGGUGGCUUCGUUCAACCGCGCAGAGGGGCUCCUGCGCGUUCCCAUUUCGGACAGAGCAUUGGAUACGUGUUUCCCGCUCCCCACCCUCCCCUACACCCAUCUCUUUCUAUAUUAGUGGAGUGAGCCUGUAUUGGCCACUAGCAGAAUUGGUCUUCUUGGUUGCUUCUAAGCACCCCCCGUGUCAAAGGCUCUGUCUGCAUUCUCUCACGUCCGCAUUUCAGUAACAGUAACAGAGUUGGAAGGGACCUUGGAGGUCAUCUAGUCCAACCCCCUGCUCACGCAGGAAACCUAUACUAGGGAUUGGAACCGCCGACCUUUCUCAUCGACAAGCUCAGCGUCUUAGCCACUGAGUCACCUAGCCAGCAUCUUUCCAAGAUGCUCCUUCUGCAACUACUUCUCUCCUCCGCCCUCCAGGGAAGGGAUGGGGUGGGGGGAGGCUCACUUUCCUCCCCUUUCCUAAAUGAACGGGGUCCCCCCCCGCCCGCUCCGUCCCUGGACAAUGCUUCUGUGUGUGUGUGUGUGCAGCGCCUAGCGCAGAUGCGGGGUUUUCCGAAGCUUCCGCGAGAUCCCUCCACGUUGCCCUCCGUUGUUUUUCCCGAACUCCACGUUGCAAAUCCCCGCGGCUCCUGACUCCACGAAAACAUUGUCUCCAUGGCAACGGUCAACUCCUCCGCCCGCGCGAGUGAACUUGCACCACGGUGAUGUCAGGCUGGCGUGGAAGAAGAGAGUUCACUGGCGAGCACUGAUUGCCUUCAGGCGGAGACGCCCGGUUACCUAGUACACAAAGCGUGAGCAGGUAGCAGGCAUGGCAUUCAGUGGCACGCUUUAUUGUCUUCGUCAACAGGAAUCCUGUAAAGGUAGUUUGGGUUGGGUUGCGAUUGACUGACCUGGGCUGUCUAGAGAUGUUCCUGCAGAGAUGACUCCAAUCUGGAUUCCUGCCUAAAGAAAAGUCUCUGCUCAAAGAAUGAAUGACACAUUUUACAUCUGACAGGCAACUUGACAUCCUUAUGUUUCAAGACCAUCAGCAAAAAUCCUUUCAUUUUUUGCAAUCUCUAGGAUUGUCCCUAAUUUCCAUAUGCUGCCUUUUUAAAACGGUAAACACAGGACUGCUAAAAGGAUACAUCUGAAAUAGUUUGAUAAUACACUUGCCUUCCAGUCACCCUUGACUCCUGGCAACUAUCUGGACAAGUCCUGCAGUUUUGUUGGCAACAUUUUCAAGAAGUGACUUGCCCUUGCCACCUUCUUAAGAAUGGCUGGCCCAAAGACACACAAUGGCACUCCAUAAUAAUAAUAAUAAUAAUAAUAUUUUAAUUUGUAUACCGCCCUUCUCCCGAAGGACUCAGGGCGGUGAACAGGCAGAUAAAAUAUAAAUACACACAAUAAUUAAAAACAUCCCUUAAAAAGCUAAUUUAAAUGCCCAAAAUGUUAAAAAAUGUACUCCCCCUUAAAAUAACACAGUUUUAAAAACCCAUCCAAUAAAAAUAAAAAUCAGGCUAGUCCAGCCAUACGAAAUAAAUAAGUUUUAUGCCUUGUUGUUGUUAAUUGCGAAGUCACGUCCAACCCAUUGUGACCCCAUGGACAAUGUUCCUCCAGGCCUUCCUGUCUUCUACCAUCCUCUGGAGUCCACUGCUUCAGUGACUCCAUCCAGCCACCUCAUUCUCUGUCAUCACAUUCUUCUUUUGCCCUCAAUCUUUCCAAGCAUUAGGCUCUUCUCCAGUGAGUCCUUCCUUCUCAUUAUGUGGCCAAAGUAUUUGAGUUUCCUCUUCAGGAUCUGGCCUUCUAAAGAGCAGUCAGGGUUGAUCUCCUCGAGAACUGACUGGUUUGAUCGCCUUGCAAUCCAAGGGACUCGCAGGAGUCUUCUCCAGCACCAGGCAGCUAGUUAGUUAGUUAGUUAGUCAGCUAAUAGAUACAUUGCAACUGGGAAAACCAUAGCCUUGACUAUACGCAGAGGUUCCCGUCCCGUCCCCACACCCCCAGCUCCUACUUCACAACCUUAACCAUUAGACCAGUGUCCUCAAUCCUGGGAGUUGAAGUCCAGACAUCUCCAAGUUUGAAAAAAACACUGCAUUACACCAAAUUGGCUCCCUAAAGAGGGGGAAGGGGAAAGGCAGGGGAAAGGAAAAAGAAAGGGGAGUGAAGGGGAGAAGGAGAAGGAGGAGAGAGGAGAGGAGAGGAGAGGAAAAGGGAAAGGGAAAGGGAAAUGAAAGGUUUCAAUUACACCAUUAGAGUCCUAUCUCUUUUGCCUGAUCGCCCUCCACCGUGAUGGCCUUCCCUUUUCCAAACCGAUUUCAUCCCUGCAUUACACUAACCAGAGCUUGAAAAGGCCAGCAAAGAAACACCAAAGCUACAUUAGAGAGCUUCCUGCAUGAUAUGUUUGGAGGGAAGCAGGAAGAUCAUGGAAGGAGCUUCACAAUCACAUUUUUCUCAAUUAUUUAUGAAAGUUAUAUACCAGCUCUUCAUUCCAAAGGCGACACAAGAAAGUCAAAAAGCAAAGCGAAAUCCAACAACCUAAAUUGAAAGCAUACAGGUGUUUCUCGACUUACCAUCAUAAUUAAAGCCAGUUCAUUAUGGUCAUAAAUCAUGACAGUCGUAAAGCAGGUCAUCCUGUAACUGACUCAAUUUAAUGGUCCUUUUUGUGGCGAUCAUUAAGCAUAGCCAUUGCUAAUAAAGGAGACUAUUUUUGUAGCUCAGGGUUGACAUGAGGGGUCCUUGGUGCUCUGUGGGCUUGCUUGUUUUCUUGCAAGACAUUUCAUUACCCAACUAGGUAACAUUACCAGGGCUAGUGCCAGUGCUCCAACACGCUCCAACACGCUCCAACACUGGAAGUUUUUAAGAAGAGACUGGACAACCAUUUCUCUGAAAUGGCAUUGGGUUUCCUGCCUGAGCAUGGGAUUGGACUAGAAGACCUCCAAGGUCCCUUCCAACUCUAUUAUUCUGAGAUAAUUCCUUCUGGUAUUUGCUUCGUUGGAUGGCCCAUAAGCCACAACAGCCCCGUCACAUAGCUGUUAUAUGUCUAUAUAGCUAUGUCAACCCGUUUUUGGUGUCCUCAUGUUGGCAGCCCUUGGAAGAUUCCUGAGAAUCCCUCUGCACCUUACUUUAAAAGUCUGAAGCCUACUCCCACAUUCGUCAAGAUCGUAAUUAAGAGCAGAUCCCAUGGCUUUAGCAUUAGUCACUUUUUUCCUUCUCCCUUCUUGUUGUUUUUUUUUGCCUUUGUUUACCAUCUUUCCCAAUGAAGGAUUCUGGAGAAUUCAGUUGUUUGCACUCUGUCUGUAUUUUGAGUUGGCCUAAUAAAAGUUUUUAUGGGUCUUUGCUUUUUCUAAUGUUUUAUAUAAAUGUUUCAGCCAUCCUGUUUUAAACAGCACCAUGGUGGUCAGCAGACAGAUGCUUUAAGAAGCUUGCAAGCCAAGUAAUAAAGACUCUGCCUUUUCUCCCUUCUGUGUCUUCAGCAUUUGAUUUUCAGAGCUGUGUUGUCUUUGUAUAUUUUAUUUAUUUUUAUUUAUAUCACGCCUUUAUUAUUUUUAUAAGCAAUUCAAUGUGGCGAACACACACAAUACUCCUUCCACCUCCUAUUUUUCCCACAAGAAGAACCGGUGGGGUCGGGUGGGCUAAGAGAAAGUGACUGGCCCAAAGUCCCAAAACUGGCUUUCAUAUCUAAGGCAGGACCUACAACUCACAUUCACUUGGUGAUUGACCCCAAGUCACCCAACCAGCUUUCAUAUCUAAGCAGGACUAUUACUCAUUAAUAAUAAUAACAACAGAGUUGGAAGGGACCUUGGAGGCCUUCUAGUCCAACCUCCUGCCCAGGCAGGAAACCCUACACCAUCUCAGUCAGAUGGUUAGCCAACAUUUUCUUAAAAAUUUCCAGUGUUGGAGCAUUUACAACUUCUGCAGGCAAGUUGUUCCACUUAUUAAUUGUUCUGUCAGGAAAUUUCUCCUUAGUUCUAAGUUGCUUCUUUCUUUGAUUAGUUUCCAUCCAUUGCUCCUUGUCCUGCCCUCAGGUGCUUUGGAGAAUAGCUUGACCCCCUCUUCUUUGUGGCAGCCCCUGAGAUAUUGGAACACUGCUAUCAUGUCUCCCCUAGUCCUUCUUUUCAUUAAACUAGACAUACCCAGUUCCUGCAACCGUUCUUCAUAUGUUCUAGCCUCCAGUCCCCUAAUCAUUUUCGCCUGGUGAUUGACCCCAAGUCACCCAACCAGUUUUUAUAUCUAAGCAGGACUACAACUCACUGUCGCCUGGUGAUUGACCCCAAGUCAUCCAAUCACCUUACAUAUCUGAGGCAGGACUAAAACUCACCAUUGCCUGGUGAUUGGUCCAAAGUCACCCAGCCGGCUUUCACGCCUAAUGCAGGAUUAGAAAAUGAGCAAUAAAUAAAAUGUGGAUGCCAUGAAAGUGAAACCCCACAUUGCACAUCAUACAGGUGAAUCAUAGUUCCCUUGCUGGGUGUUUAUAUGUAACGUCACUGGUGUCCUGUGAUUGAUUGAGUUUUGCUCCAUUCUACUCUGUGAUGAAAACUUGCUGAUUUUCAGUUUUCUCUUCAACAGAAGAGCAAUGCAUUCCACUGACACGUGAACUUGUGCUGUUGUUGCAAGGGGCACAGAUGAAAUAAGCAAAUGGCAUAAGUGGCUUUCCCCCCCCACCUUGAAUUGCCUACAAUCAGUGUUUCUCAAUCUCAGCAAUGUUAAGAUAUGUGGACUUCAACUCCCAGAAUUCCCCAGCCAGCAUAGCCAGCAAUUCUGGUGAGGUCACAAUAAGGCAGUUGAACUAAUUGGCUGUAAUUCCCAUGCUUAGGACCUGGAUUCUAGAUCUAGCUGGCUGGGGGAUUUUGGGAGUUGAAGUCCAUACACUGGAAAGAUUGAGAAACACUGGCCUACAUUUUAUCUUGAAUCUACACCAUGGUUAGCCAUUUGAAGCACAUUCUGGCAGCGUAUUUAUUUAUUGCAUUAUAUUUCAUAUUCCCUCUAGACUAGACCUGCCCCACUUGUGGAGGAUCAAUGGCCAGGUUAAUGAAUUAAAGAACCAAUACGGGCCACAAAGAAAUACCCGGCUUGCCAAUCAGCUGUUAGUUAGGCAGCUAAUAGAGCAGUGACUUUACAAGUAGUCCUUGACUUACAUCCAUUUAUAUCAUGACCGUUCAAAGUUACAGUGGCACUGAAAAAAAGGAAUUAUAACCAGUCCUUGUACUUACAAUCAUCACAGUAGCUCCACAAUCACAUGACCAAAAAAACCCUGGGCGCUUGGGCAUUGGCAUGUAUGUGUGAAUUUACCCGUGUAAAUUUAGGACUUUCCAAAGAGCUGAUAAGCAAAGUCAACGGGGGAAGCUGGAUUCACUUAAUAACUGUGUCAUUCGCUUAACAACCAUGUGAUUCACUUAAUAAGGGCAAUGUUUUGCUUAACAAACAUGGCAGAAAAGUCCAAAAAUUGGGUGUGACUCACUUAGCAACUGGUUGGCCUAACAAUAGAUAUUCUGGUCCCAAUUGUGAUUGUAAGUCGAGAACUACCUAUACUGGAACUGGCGGCAGCAACAGGGCUUGGUGGAGCUCAGCAGUAAAGGUAAAGGUUCCCCUCGCACAUAUGUGCUAGUAGUUCCUGACUCUAGGGGGCGGUGCUCAUCUCCGUUUCAAAGCCGAAGAGCCAGCACUGUCUGAAGACAUCUCCAUGGUCAUGUGGCCGGCAUGACUCAAUGCCAAAGGCGCAUGGAAUGCUAUUCCCUUCCCACCAAAGGUGGUCCCUAUUUUUCUACUUGCAUUUUUUACGUGCUUUUGAACUGCUAGGUUGGCAGAAACUGGGACAAGUAAUGGGAGCUCACCCCGUUACGAGGCACUAGGGAUUUGAACUGCUGAAUUGCGGACCUUUCAAUCGACAAGCUCAGCAUCUUAGCCACUGAGCCACAGCAUCCCUAGCUCAGCAGUAGUGGAGGUCAAUUUAUUACUUUUUUAAAAGCUCCAGUAGCCCAUAAAAGGUUGCUUGGUAGAUCACACAAGGUCCAUAUAUCAUAUGUUCUGCAAGCCUGCUCUGGAUGCUCAAAAUGAUAUAUGAAAAGUCUCCUCUAAGUUUGACUCUACUAAAAUUGUUCUGUGAGAUAGUUUGGACUGAGAAAGAAUCACACACACACACACUGGCCCAUGAAUUCCACCUGUCUUCCCAUCACUUGGGACAAAAGAGGAAAAUUGGCAGAACUGUUCUCAGUAUUAUCUGGUUUAAAAAAAAGAAGGCAAUUUCACCAUUUCACUUUUCCAUUAGUCAACUUGUAAAAGAAAAGAAACCCCGACUUUUAACUGGUCAAAAAUGGGAUUCCAGUAGUUAGUCAAUGGAUCUUUAAGGAGGAUGGAGAAACACAAUAUUUCAGCAGAAUAACAGAACAAAAAGUUGGAAGGGACCUUGGAGGUCUUCUAGUCCAACCCCUGCUCUAUACCAUUCCAGACAAAUGGCUGUCCAUCUCUUCUUAAAAAUCUCCAGUGAUGGAGCACCCACAACUUCUGAAAGUAAGCCAUUCUACUGAUUAAUUUUUUUCUGUCAGUCCAAGGAAUUCCCAAAUCCAGGAAAACUUGGCCAUGGAUGGAAGGCAGUGGCCUGUAACUGGAUAUACAGUAGCCAAUUUGAGCGGAAGGUUUACCUGUAAUGAAAUGAAGAUCAGCAGACCAAACAGAAGACAUCCAUCCCUUGAGUUGACUUAUUGGAAAACACUACUUGUGAUUUGUAGCAAGAAAAGAUGGGGAAGGCUGCCUUCAUAGGGUCUGGGGAAGGUUGAAGGAUGAUGUCUUUCAUUCUUUCAGAAACAAUUAUGACUCCUUCUUGCUCUGGGGCAACCCAGCUGUGUUGACCAUCCAGCCUCUUUCUUCAAUACUCUAGACCAGAUGUGGGCAAUUAAUUUUCCGAAGGGACCACAUGAAAAACUGGGCCUGUUGCGGAGGACCGAACCAGCAGAAAUGUGCAGGGUGCAUUCCAGUAAUCAAGCUGUGGGUGGCUGUCUGAAAGGUCUCCUUACCUCACUGUGGUCUUCCAACAUCACAGCAUAUGGGUCAUCUUUUUGGCUGCUUUUAGAACCUACAAGGGAUCCGGAUUCAGUAAACAAGUGGACAAUCUCACAGCAGAGAGGACUCUGACCACUUCCACUUCCCUAAGUUUAAAUUCAUCCCAGUCUCACCUUAAGACAAUGCACCAGGCACCCCAAUUUGCCUACCUAGUCAAAAUCAGAGCAGAUGUGGAUGACUUUAUCCAUCAGGUAGCCUGAAUAAUCCUCAGAGUAGCCUAGCAGAUAUUCCAAGGAAUCCUCCUUAACCAAUGGGGUACUGCCUUGUAUUGGCUACUGGUGAAUAAGUGAAUGCAAUAACAGCAGAGAAAUAUUGGUGUUUUCUCAGUACGGCCUUGGCCAAAUCAUCUACCAGACCCUCAGGAACAGUGGUGAAAUCCAUUUUUUUUUUUAGUGCCGGUUCUGUGGGCGUGGCUUGGUGGGCAUGGCAGGGGAAGAAUACUGCAAAAUCUCCAUUCUGUCCCCAUUCCUGGGAGAAGGCUAUUGCAAAAUCUCCAUUCCCACCCCAGUCUGGGGCCAGCCAGAAGUGGUAUUGGCCGGUUCUCUGAACUACUCAAAAUUUCCACUGCUGGUUCUCCGAACUGCUCAAAAUUUCUGCUACCGGUUCUCUAGAACCUGUCAGAACUUGCUGGAUUUCACCCCUGGUCAGGAAGAAUCCCAAGCUCUAUUGCAAUGCAAGUGGGUCCAUCAAACACCUGGGUGGAAUGGUCAAAUGGGCCCUGUCUCCUUGCAGGGAGGGAUGACACCAGUUAGUCAAAAGCCAAUCAGAAUGAACUGUCUGCAGGAAUGGACUGAUGUCAACAUGAGCCACUGCCAGAUCAUAUCUCAACAGCCUUGAGACAAAAAUCACAACCAACAAGUAGUUCCCAGUAUGUGUUGGGCCAUCAGUGACUUGGGACAAAUCCAUGGACUUCUGAGCCACCCUGGACUCAGGGUCACCAACAAAUCGAAAUCCCCAAGCACCAAUCAGCUGGGGACUCCAAGCACCAACCCAGCAAUGGAAUCCAGUACUUCAGGCAGAGAUGCUGUCAGGCAGCAGGGAGGGCAGGACCCUAUAAGCAAUCCCAACUGUUCCCUUACGCCCAGCUUCACGCAGAGCAUCUCAUAUCCAGUUCUCUCUGGAGCAGAGAUAUUUGAAUAAAAUGAAAUGAAAUGCACCAAAACAAGUGACUUACGACCUGUCCUUGCCCUUAUGACUGUCGCAGCCUCCCCAGAAUCACAUGAUCAAAAUUCACACAGUUGGCAACCAAGAUGUAUUUACAACCGUUUGAACGUCCCAGGAUCAUGUGAUUGUCAGUGGCAACUUUCCCAGCCAGCUUUUGAUAGAUGAAACUCAUUGGAUUCGCUUAAUAACCAGGUAAUUCACUGAAGAACAAAGUCAGUGCAGUUCUCUUAACAACCAUUAUUUUUUAGCAAUAGAAAGUCUAAUUCUAAUUAUUCUAAUUAUUUUAAUUAUAAUUUUAAAUUUUAAGGGUUUUUAACGUAGGUCUAUGACCUUUUAGUUAAUUAGGCCUAUUUAAUAUUUGUUUUAAAUUCGUUUUAAAUUUGUUAUUUAUAUUAUGUAUUAUUUGUGUUUUUAAUAAGGCUGUAAACCGCCCUGAGUCCUUCGGGAGAAGGGCGGUAUAGAAAUUAAACUAUAAAUAAAUAAAAUAAAUAAAUAAUUCCAAUUGUGGUCAUACCUCACGGACUACUUAUAUUCAGCCCACACAGCAUGAUCCUGGCAAAGAACUUUAAAGUUCAUUUUUAUUUAUUAUUUAUUAAAUAGAUAUGCCGCUCUCCACACUCCUGGGCGGCUUACAAAAUGGGGUGUCUCCACUUAUGACAAGAUCAUCUGGGGGUGGGCGUUGAGGGAGGAAAAAUGUGACGCUACAGAGGGAGUGGAGCUGUGAAAAAUAACCAUUUUGAACAAUUCACGCCCUUGUAAAGGCAGAAUAAUUUAGGAGAGGGAAAACGGGGUCCCAUGCUGCCUGGGGUGUGUUAAAGUAGUAGGGAUAUAAGGCAACUGCAUCCUGGCUGGCCUUUUGCUCCUUCGGGCAUCCCCAGCCAACUGGCUUCUCCUGCUUGGAGGCACCUGCCUCUUGAUGGUUCCUGCCCGGAGCCCGCGCUGCGCAUGUAAGUCAAAGGCAGCCGCACCAACGAAUGUGAGGGGAACCUCUGCAACCUUUAUAUACCCAAGUUAUUUUUAACCACAGCCUCCCCUGCUGAUGGCAGCGUUUCCUCUCCCAGGCGUUCAGGAAGCUCGCUUGGCUCUGCUUCCUGCUAACACGCGGUCCUGGCGCACAAAAUCUGGAGUACUACAACAACACAGCACGGUUGUGGGGAAAAAAAAAACCUUGGCAAGGGCUCAAGACCUGACAGAAAUCCUUUGAAAGUCUCAGAGGGCAAGGAGCCAGCACGCCGGGUGCCGAGGAGGCCGUGGCUUCUCCAGCAACACCAGAAGCCAAGGCUCCUGCUUCAAUAGGCCCUUUGCUGUCGAACCUGGGCCUUGCGUUUAUGAAGGCUGCCUUUGUGAUGGCGGCGAAGGGGGCUUGCUUUUUUCCCCCCCCUCCUUCACGUUUUCGAAAGGUGGCUUUUGAGGAAAUGACAGCGUUUCUCAUCCCCUCAGCUUCCGUAUUUUGACUCCAUUUAAAUAUAUAAUAUUCAGAGUGCCCCAAACAAGUGACAAGCGUUCCAUUCAGUUAUUCAUCCCUCCCUUCUUCCAUGAGGUCAAGACAUGAUAUGUAAUUCUCUUUCCCCUUUGGAAUGUUUCUUUCCUUUAACAGGCUUGGGAGGUAAAUAACGGUAGGAAAUAGUGAUCGGCCCAAAGACACCCAGUUAGCUUUGGAACUCAGUGGGAAUUUGACCAGGAGUCUCUCUUUAUGGAACGUUUGGGGCAAUAAAGCAGCUUCCUAAUGCUUAACAAUCACUGUACAGAAGAAGCUAUUAACAUGACCCCUUUGGUAGAAUUCGAACUGCUAGUCCCCGUUGAACCUCCAGCAGUCUCUACUUUGGGGUCGCCAUCCCAGUCCUUGCAAUAUCCCAAUGUUUAUUUUUGUGUACUGAAACUAGUCUCACCCAUUGUGCUAAGCUUUUAGUUGCUUAACUGUGGUUUACAAAUCAUAAUUGGAUAAAUAUUAAGCCCAAACCAAACAACUGCAAUAGAGCGCUAUAUCUGACAUGAACAAAAUCUGUAAGAUCUGUUGUGAGAAGCAAACAUCCACUGUUGGUGGAAUUAAAUCUGGAAACCAGGGAACAGAAUGCCAAGAAUGCUUCGUGCAAACACAGUUGCUAUUUUGUAAGACAUAAUCUAUUUUAGACCAAUGGUUACUGACAACGAGUAUUUAUGUUCUAGAAUCAUAAAACCAGAGGGGAAAACUCUGUAACUAAAUCAUGAGAAUAAAGCUGUUUGAAAUGUACAGCAGAGAGAAAAGCAAGGCUUGGCAAAGGAUUCUGACAUGCUACAAAUGGGUUCCUUUUUAAAUCUGUACAGCAAUAACAGGGUUUGUCCCAAUGAGGGAAGAGAGCAGGGGUGGGCUUCAAAAAUUUUAGCAAGGGGUUUUCUGCCCGGUUGCUGGGUAGGCAUGGCCAUGGUGGGUGUGGCCUAGUUGGCUCCUGUACCACAGUGGUGGUGGUGGGGUGUUUUUGCCCUCCCCAGGCCCUGGAGGCUUUCCUCCAGCCUCCGGGAGGGCGAAAACGGCCUCCCCAGGCUCCAGAGGCCCUCUGGAGGUCAGAAACAGGCCCGUUUCCGGUCUUCCCAAACUUCCGGUAGGCCCAUUUUUUGCCCUCCCUGAGCCUCCGCACACACCCUGAACUUACCUGCAUCCAAAACCGGCCAUGUGAGGAUUCCUAGGACGGGUGGUGAGGGGGGCCAGGGCCCGCAAGGAGUGGGAUUGGGGCAGAGGUGAAAUGCUACCGGAUCUGACCGGAUCAGGCGAGUAGGUAGCGGAGAUUGUGGCUGGUUCGGAGAACUGGUAGCAA